rnacentral:rRNA from 1 species
GAUGAACGCUGGCGGCGUGCUUAACACAUGCAGGUCGAACGGAAAGGCUCCUGCUUGCCGGGGUACUCGAGUGGCGAACGGGUGAGUAACACGUGGGUGAUCUGCCCUGCACUUCGGGAUAAGCCUGGGAAACUGGGUCUAAUACCGGAUAGGACGAUGUUUUGCAUGCCAUUGUGGAAAGUUUUUGCGGUGUGGGGUGAGCUCGCGGCCUAUCAGCUUGUUGGUGGGGUAUUGGCCUACCAAGGCGUCGACGGGUAGCCGGCCUGAGAGGGUGUACGGCCACAUUGGGACUGAGAUACGGCCCAGACUCCUACGGGAGGCAGCAGUGGGGAAUAUUGCACAAUGGGCGCAAGCCUGAUGCAGCGACGCCGCGUGGGGGAUGACGGCCUUCGGGUUGUAAACUCCUUUCGCUAGGGACGAAGCGCAAGUGACGGUACCUGGAGAAGAAGCACCGGCUAACUACGUG